CUUCCUCUCUCGGGGCUGGAAGCUUUCUGACUGAAGAUCUCUCUGCACUUGGGGUUCUUUCUAGAACAUUUUCUAGUCCCCCAACACCCCUUAUGGCGUAUUUAUUUAAAAAAUCACCUAAAUUCCAUAAAAUAUUUUUUAAAAUUCUAUACUUUCUCCUAGUGUUUUCUUGACACGUCCUCCAUAUUUUUUUUAAAAAAGUAUUUGGAAUAUUUUGAGGCAAUUUUUAAUUUUUAAGGAAUUUUUUUUUGGAAUCAUUUUUGGUUGACAUCUUUGAUUUUGUGGAUCAGUUUUCCACUCUUCCACUUUCUUUUCUAUAUUUUGCCCAUCGGGGCUGCGGAUACCUGGUUUUAUUAUUUUUUCUUUGCCCAACGGGGUUGUGGAUACCUACCUUUUAAUUCCUUUUUAUUCGCCCAUCGGGGCCGCGGAUACCUGCUUUUUAUUUUUUUUUUUCCUUAGCCCAUCGGGGCAUCGGAUACCUGCUGAUUCCCUUCUCCUCUGACCCCCCAACACUCUGGCCCAUCGGGGUGACGGAUACCUGCUUUUUAAAAAUUUUCUUUUUUUGGCCCAUCGGGGCUUCGGAUACCUGCUUUAAUUUUUUAUUUUUCCUUGCCCAUCGGGGCCUCGGAUACCUGCUUUAAUUUUUGUUUUUCUGGCCCAUCGGGGCCGCGGAUACCUGCUUUGAUUUUUUUUUUUCAUCGCCCGUCGGUGCUUUUUAUGGAUGAAAAAAUGUUGGUUUUGUGGGUUGUUGCACUCUCUGGAAUAUCUACACUUUUUUUGCUGCUGAUCAUUUGGUGGUGUGUGAGUGUACCUAUGGCUUUGGCAGGGAAUGACUCUGCAGUUAAGCUAAGGGCGUGGAGGAAAAGUGGCCGCCAUUUUAGAUUUGCCGCAUAACUCAGCUUAGGGCUAGUCGUUUGUGCUAAGUUUAAACUAGGGAGGCAAGAUGGAUGAUAGGUCAGGCAGAGGAAGUCAUGUGCAUUGCAUGAGCUAAACCUGUCUGAAUGAGUUGAUUUGGGGCUUGUUAUGAGCUUUGCGUGAUUGUUGUAUCGGGAGGCAGUAAGACAGAAUUGUCUUUUGUCAGUACAAGGCACUAGUUGAAAAUGAAAGGUUAGAAAAGACUAAGGUGCAAGGCUUAAAAUGGCGAUUUUGACAUUGCGGCAUUGCUCAGCAUGGCGGGCUGUGCUUUGUUAGGUUGUCCAAAAUGGCGGAUCCAGUUCUGUCGCAGUGUUCAAGUGGCGGGAAGGCCACAUCAUGAUGGGCGAGGCUUUGUUAAGUGGUUAGCAUGGUGGUGGACAUGUGCGGUCACACAGGAAAAGAUGGCGGCUAAAGGUCUUGCCGCAGUGUAAAACAUGGCGGGCCUCUUUGUCUUUGCUGUGUGCUUUUCGUGUUGGGUUUUGCCGCAGGGACAAUAUGGCUGGCGUUGUCAUGUGUAUAUCAUGGCUUUUGUCACGUGGACAUCAUGGCGGGCUUUUGCUCGGUGCAAUCUUGGCGGGCUUGCCGCAUUGUUAAAGAUGGCGGGUUUUGCCGCCUAGUGCCAUGCAGAGCGGGAGAGAAAGUGGGAUGGACAGUGCUGGAUUGUCGCAUAACCCAACCAAUUAGAAAUGGGGGUGGAAUUGAUCACAGCCAAUUAGAGCAGAAGAUGGAAUUAGACUGAUGACACACUGUCCAGCUACUCAGCGAGCACUUGGGUGAAUUAGCAUAGCACUUCGCAGCUGUCUUUAGCCAGUAAAAGAAAGAAGUGGAGGGGCCACGUGUAUGUCUCCCAGUGGGCGGUACACCAGGUGUUUUCAAGGUCUUUUCAAGGACAUUUGGCCUUUCCACCUCUGUCCCCUCAUUUGUCACCUCCUGUCCAGUGCUGCCUCUUGCAGUGCUGGAUAUCUGGCUGUGUGGUCUGAACCUCACUCCAUCCCUCUGUAUUGGUGCCUCACCUAAGGCUAAGUAUACUUCCCCCCCCCCCCCCCCACUCCCCCAACUCCCUACCCCCCCACCGCCCCACCACCUCUGGUCUGCCCUGCACUGCACUGUGGCCAUGCGCAGUGCUCCAGGCCUGCUUGGUGUGGACAUGGUGGUGACCCGUGUCAAGGACCAGAAUGGAUCACAGAUGAUCGUUGGCCAACAGGUGGCAGAAGAGGAAUUCCUGCCUUCCUCAAGAGGAACACCUACCCCUUGGCUUAUGCUGGGGUCGGAUUUUGAUUUAUAUUUAUCUUUUGGAUGUCAGUCAUACAGUCUGAUUUUGUGGUUUGCUAGUGUUUGAAUUUAAGUCUUAAGUGACUGUUAUAGAAAUGUAUUAAGAGGCUUUAUUUGUAGAAUUCAUUUUAAUUACAUUUAAUGAGUUUUUAUUUUGAGUUCCUUAAAAUUCCUUAAAGGUUUUAGUUUCUCUUUACAAAUUCCUUAACCUUUUGGCAGUAGAUAGUCAAAGUCAAAUCAUUUCUAAUUUUUAAAAAAUGUGCUGAUUAUUUUCUUUGAAAUUGACUUAACUACUUUCCUUUGGAUUUUGAAGAGUCUGUAGCACAGAAACAGUUAAAAAUUUAACUUCAUGAUCUAAUGUUAAAAAGAGUGUUUGAAGGUUUACACAGGUCCAGGCCUUGCUUUGUUCCCAUCCUUGAUGCUGCACUAAUUGACUAAUCACCUACUUAUCAGGCAGGAGACUUGAAUUGCUGUGGUCUGGUGUCCUCUAUUCAGACUUAUAUGGGAGUAUUAAUGUCCACAUUUCAAUUUUUUGUUGUAUUCUGCCUGCCUAGCAUCCAGUUUCUCCCCAGCCCUGCUCCCAGCAAACCCCCCUAGUCUAGCCCCAGCCCUUCUCCCACCCCACCCCAGCCCUGCCCCAGCCCCUGCCCCAGCCCCAGCCCGACCCCAGCCCCAGCUCCAGCCCCCUAAGCCCCCAGCCCUAGCCCCAGUCCCAGUGCUAGUUCCUCAGUCCCACCCAGCUUCUCUGGAAAGUCACUCUAAUUUUCAUUGAUUCAGUGCUCAAAAUAAGUUGUCCAUUGCUCAUCCUAUUAUACUGGAAUAUUCUGUUUAUCCUUGGCAUUGCUGAUCUUCAGUACUGACUCCUUGACCAUUUUCAGUUAAUGCAUACAAUCCCAUUUGUCUGUGAUCUCAGAACGGAAUUUCUUUACUCAGCACGUUGAAGUUAGGGAAUGUCAAUUGAGAGCCUUCUAUCAGAGCAUUAUUGCCCACAAUUUGAGUCACUAAUCAUUUUCCCAAUCCCCUGCCCUUAAAGGAGAAACCAUUUCUCUGUCAUUGCUUCUGUAGUCACAGUCCCAAUUUUGAGUAGUGACCUUUUAUUGUGUACUGUGUUGGCCACCUAAAACUCUUUGCAUUGAGUAAAAUUCUAAUUGCCAAUAAUCCUACCCACUGGAUUAGACAGCACUCUGAACCCCAUUUGCAUUCAGCAGGGGGUCUCAGACAACCCGUCUUUUGUUGGACAGUAAAAAUGCUCAGUCCCAAUUGUCAUAGCUUUGCGUAUUAAACAAAGGCACCCUACUGCGCUUUUUGCUGUGCUUCUGGAGAAUCCUGCUGUUCUUGGACAAUUAAAGAACAAAGUAGUAAUUGCUAAUUGUCUCACCCAUUAAUCUUGAAGGCUACCAGUCGCCCUUGCAUUUGCCUUGAGGCAGUGCUGACUACCUGAGAUUUAAGAGUUUCUUAAAUUAUUGAGUAAAAUCCCAAUUAUCCAUAGUUCUGUUAGUUACACUAUGGCCUUUGUAAACAUCUUUGCGUAACAGCAGAGGGACUCAUUCUUAGAGCCCCUUCCCUUGGAAUAUUAAUGGAUACAAUAGUAAUUAUUCAUGGUUCUGCCUAACAAGAGAGACUCACUUAUAUGUAUGCCCUUAUCAUUGCUCCUAGGUAGUGUGAACUGCCUAUCACCUGGCAUUAGUAUGUAAAACACUAAUUGCCUAUGGUCCCACUCGUUAGUCUAGGAUAUCCCCUUUGCCAUUGCUGCCGAGUUCUGACUACCCAAGUUUCCUUCUCUUAAACAGUUGAUAUGCAUAAUUGCAUAUAUUCAUGGUUCUGUGCAAUAAAAAUGGAUUCCCACCCCAUCCCACCUUCUGUGGGAUAUUGCUAACGAGUGCAGAUUAUUCAGUAACAGCCCUUGGACAGUUAAUUUGCACAAUUGCAAUUGUCCAAAGUCCUGUCCAUUAGAAAGGGACUCUGUAUCCUAUUUGCAUGUUACAAUGUGGGCUGAUCACCCAAGGACUCUUCUUGUGCAUUGAUGUUCAUAAUUGUGUUUGUCCACGAUCUUGUGCACUAACCCUGCCACUCCCUUUGUAUUCCAGCAGGGGACCCUUACUACUUAAGACCUCUGUACUAGGACAGUUUAUGUGCACAAUCCUAAGUGAUUAGAACUGAGUCUUUUAUAUCAUGGUCCCUGCAUCAUCUUUGCUUUACAUCAAGAGGGUGCUGGUUACCUAAUGCCCUUCCUCCAGAAAUUAUUGAUGUGCAAAAUGCAAUUUCCCUAUCUGCUGUUAGUCUGGGGUCUCAUCCCCUCAUAUUCCUUUUGUUCUACAGCAGGGGGUACUUGGGACUGUUAAUGCGCAUAAUUGCAAUUAUGGUCUUUUCCAUUACAUUAAGAUCCCAACCCUCUUAGCAUUACAGUAGAGGGUGCUAAUCACAAAGACUUUUCUUUUGUACUGUUAAUGUGCUACUUGCAUUUGUCCCUCUUCCUGUGCACUAAAGACCCCACUUACUUCCCUUGUGCUCAGGACUGGAUGACCUCUACUCAAGACCUUUGCACUAGGAUAGUUAAUGUGAACCAUGGCAGUUCAUCACAGCAAUGUCUUUCAGAUCAGAUCCAUUGUACCCUCCUUGUUUUACAGCAAGGGAUAUUAAUUACCCAUGUUACCUUUUCCUGGGACUAUGAAUGUGGAAAAUUCCAAUGUUUGUGGUCUCUCCCUUUAAACCAAUAUUCUACGCCUUUUAUAUUAUAUAAAGGGAUGCUGGCAACCCAAAGUCCUUCUCUUGGGACUCUUAAUGUGUAUAUUUCUAAUUGUCCACGACUCUUAAUGUGCAUAUUUUCAAUUGUCUGUGGUACCUCCCAGUAAGCUAAUAUCUUGACUUCUCAGUAUCAUAGCAGGGGGUACUGAUUUCCUGAAGUCUUUCUUGAACUUCCAGUGUGCAAAAUUGCCCUGAGGCCGGGUGUGGUGGCUCACACCUGUAAUCCCAGCACUUUGGGAGGCUGAGGUGGAAGGAUUCCUUAAGGCCAGGAGUUUGAGACCAGCCUGGCCAACAUUAAAGAAAAAUAAAGUAAAACAGUUGCCCUGGAAUCCCAUCCCCUCACCCCUCCUUGGCAUAGCAGCAGGAGUGCUAACUAGCUAGUGCUACUUCUCCUAUACUGCUUAAAUGCGCAUAAUUAACAGUAGUUGAUGUGCCUCUAUGUUAGAGUGGAAUUCCCGCUUCCUUGCUCCAUUUGCAUUACUGCAGGAGCUUCUAACUAGCCUGAAUUCAUUCUCUUGGACUGUUAAUGUGCAUACUUAUAUUUGCUCCUGUACCUUUUUACCAUGUAAGGACCCCACCCACUCUAUUUACAUCCCAGCGGGAAGUACCUACUACUUAAGACCCUUCGACUAGUAAAGUUAGCAUGCAUAAUCUUAGUUGUUAUACACACAUUUUCAUUUGUAUACAGCUGUGCCUUUUAUCAGGACUCCUGUACUUAUCAAAGCAGAGAGUGCUAACCAAUAUUAAGUCCUUCUUCGGACCGUAGAUGCAUGUAAUUGCAGUUGUCAGUGGUCCUUCAAUUAGACUUGGGUUUCUGACCUUUCACACCUUCUUUGCUUUAUUGCAUGGGGGUACUAUUCACUUAAGGCCUCUUUCUCAAACUGUUAAUGUGCCUAAUGACAAUUACAUUAGGAUCCUUCCUUUUGAAGGACAGCAUGGUUGGUGACACCUAAGGCCCCAUUUCUUGGCCUCUCAAUAUGUGUGACUGUAUUUGUCCAGGUUGCUAUGCACUAGUGAAGGGAAGUGCUCCCCUCAUCACCACUUUUCCCUUCCAGCAGGAAGUGCCCACCCCAUAAGACCCUUUUAUUUGGAGAGUCUAGGUGCACAAUUGUAAGUGACCACAAACAUGCCUCUUGGACAUUAAUGUGCGUAAUUGCACACUGCUCAUUCCAUGUGAAUAGGGUCCUACUCUCCGACCCCUUUUGCACUACAGAAGGGGUGCUGAUAACCAGGUUCCCCUUUCCUGCCAUGUUAUGUGUGAUUAUAAUUGUCUGGGAUCCUAUGCACUAGAAAAGGAGGGUCAUCUCCACAUACCUCAGUCUCACCUUUCCCUUCCAGCAGGGAGUGCCCACUCCAUAAGACUCUCAAAUUUGGACAGUCAAGGUGUGUAAUUGUUAAGUGAACACAACCAUGCACCUUAGACAUGGAUGUGCAUAACUACACACAGCUCAUCCUACCUGAAUAAAAUCCUACUCUCAGACCCCUUUUGCAGUACAGCAGGGGUGCUGAUCACCAAGGCCCCCUUUCCUGGCCUGGUAUGCGUGCGAUUAUGUUUGCCUUGGUUCCUGUGUACUAGAUGUGGAAGCCUCGCCUGCCACACCCCCACCCCAAUCUUUCUUUCCCUCCGGCAGGGAGUCCCUGUUCCGUAAGACCCUUACAUUUGGACAAUCAAGGUGCACAAUCGUAAGUGACCACAGGCAUGCACCUUGGACGUUAAUGUGCAUAACUACACGGCCCAUUUCAUCUGAAUGAGGCCCUACUCUCAGACCCCUUUUGCAGUACAGCAGGGGUGCUGAUCACCAGGGCCCCUUUUCCUGGCCUGUUACGUAUGUGAUUACAUUUGUCUGGGUUCCUGUGUGUUAGACAUGGAAGCCUCCCCUGCCACACCCCACCCCCAAUCUUCCUUUCCCUUCCGGCAGGGAGUGCCCCUUUCAUAAGACGCUUACAUUUGGGCAAUCAAGGUGCACAGUUGUAAGUGACCACAGGCACGCACCUUGGACAUUAAUGUGCGUAAUUGCACAUGGCCCAUCCCAUCUGAAUAAGGUCCUACUCUCAGACGCCUUUUGCAGUACAGCAGGGGUGCUGAUCACCAAGGCCCCUUUUCCUGGCCUGUUAUGUGGGUGAUUCUAUUUGUCUGGGUUCCUGUGUACUAGACAAGGAAGCCUUUGCCCCCCUCCGCCCCCACUCCCAGUCUUCCUCUCCCUUCCAGCAGGGAGUACCCUCUCCAUAAGACCAUUACAUUUGGACAAUCAAGGUGCACAAUUGUAAGUGACUACAGCCAUGCACCUUGGACAUUAAUAUGCGUAACUGCACAUGGCCCAUCCCAUCUGAAUAAGGUCCUACUCUCAGACGCCUUUUGCAGUACAGCAGGGGUGCUAAAUCCCCAGGGCCCUUUUUCCUGGCCUGUUAUGUGUGAUUAUAUUUGUCCCGGGUUCUGUGUAAUAGACACGAAAGCCUCCCCUGCCACACCCCACCUCCAAUCUUCGUUUCCCUUCCAGCAGGGAGUGUCCACUCCAUAUACCCUUACAUUGGGACAAUCAAGGUGCACAAUUGUAAGUGCACAGGCACGCACCUUGGACACUAAUGUGCGUAACUGCACACGGCCCAUCCCAUCUGAAUAAGGUCCUACUCUCAGAUCCUUUUCGCAGUACAGCAGGGGUGCUGAUCACCAGGGCCCCUUUUCCUGGCCUGUUAUGUGUGUGAUUAUAUUUCUUCCGGUUCCUGUGUAAUAGACAUGGAAACCUCCCCUGCCACACUCCACCCACGAUCUUCCUUUACCUUCCGGCAGGGAAUGCCUGCUCCAUAAGACCUUUACAUUUGGACAAUCAAGGUGCACAAUUGUAAGUGACCACAACCAUGCACCUUGGACAUAAAUAUGUGUAACUGCACAUGGCCCAUCCCAUCUGAAUAAGGCCCUACUCUCAGACCCCUUUUGCAGUACAGCAGGGGUGCUGAUCUCCAAGGCCCCUUUUCCUGGCCUGUUAACGUACGUGAUUAUAUUUGUCUGGGUUCCAGUGUAUAAGACAUGGAAGCCUCUCCUGCCCCACCCACCCCCAAUCUUUUCCUGCUGGCAGGGAGUGCCUGCUCCAUAAGACCCUUACAUUUGGACAGUCAAGGUGCACAAUUGUAAGUGACCACAGCCAUGCGCCUUGGACAAUAACGUGUGUAACUGUACACGGCCUAUCUCAUCUGAAUAAGGUCCUACUCUCAGACCCCUUUUGCAGUACAGCAGGGGUGCUGAUCACCAAGGCCCAUUUUCUUGGCCUGUUACGUAUGUGAUUAUAUUUGUCCGGGUUUCUGUGUACUAGACAAGGAAGCCUCCUCUGCCCCACCCUACCUACCUGUAAUCUUCCUUUUCCUACCAGCAGGGGGUGCUCACUCCAUAAGACCCUUACAUUUGGACAAUCAAGGUGCACAAUUGUAGGUGACCACAACCAUGCAUCUUGGAAAUUGACGUGCAUAACUGCACACGGCUUAUCCUAUUUGAAUACGGUCCUACUCUCAGACCCCUUUUGCAGUAUAGCUGGGGUGCUGAUCACUCAGGCCUCUUUUCUUGGCUUGUCUGUAUUCUUGUGUACUAGCUAAGGACACCUUCUCAUGGACGGACUCCCUUUGCUUUUCAAGAAGGAGUACCUACUACUUUAAGAUUCUUAUAUUUGUCCAAAGUACAUGGUUUUAAUGGACCACAACAGUGUCUCUUGGACGUUAAUGUAUAUAAUCACCACAUGGUGAUUAAACAAUUAAAUUAAACACCUAAUUAAACAAGGUCCUACCCUCUCACCCCUCCAUUUGCAGUAUACCAGGGUUGUUGACCCCUAAGUCCCGUUUUCCUGGCUUAUUGACAUGCAUAAUUGCAUUUAUGUGGGUUCUUGUGCCCUAGACAAGGAUGCCCCACUUCUUUUCAAUAGUGGGUGCCCACUCCUUAUGAUCUUUACAUUUGAACAGUUAAUGGUAAUAAUUGCAGUUGUCCACAACAGUAUCACUUCUAGGACCAUUGCACCUCUUUUGCAUUACUGUGGGAUAUAAUGCUUGCCUGCAAGGCCCCUUCUAGUGGACUAUCAACAUACAUAAUUGAAAUUUUCUUUUGUCUUUGUCAGUAGAUUAAAGUCAUACCCCAUCACCUUUCCUUUGUAGUACAGCAGGGUGUCCUGAUCAACCAAAGUCCUGUUACUUUGGACUGUUAAUAUGCGCAAUUACAUUUGCUCCUGGUCUGUGCACUAGAUAAGGAUCCUGCCUACUGUCUUAGCGUUUUUAGCAGGUAGUGCCCACUACUCAAGACUCUUUCACUUGGAAUGUUCAUGUGCACAAACACAAUUCUCUAAGCAUGUUCCUGUACCACCUUUGCUUUAGAGCAGGGGGCUGAUAAUCACUUAGUGCCCCUUCUCUUGGACUUAAUAUGCAUUAAUGCAAUUGUCCACCUCUUCUUUUAGACUAAGACUUGAUCUCCACAUACUCCCCUUGCAUCAGGGGCAUAUUAUGAAUGAACCCUUUUCUUUUAAUAUUAAUGUCACAAUUUUAUUUGUGGACCUGUGUAGUAGAAAAAGACUAUAUGUUCCUUCUACUACCCUUUGGAUUGCUCCUGAAAAGUGCUAACUACUCAUAAUCUCAGCUCUUGGACAAUUAAUAUGCAUUAAUAACAAUUAUCAAGGGCAUUGAUCAUUAGAUAAGACUCCUGCCUCCUCGUGCAUACAUCAGGGGUACUGACCCACUAAGGCCCCUUGGACUGUUAAUGUGAAUAUUUGCAAUUAUACAUGUCUCCUUCUGUUAGAGUGGGAUAUUAUGCCUUAGUAUCCCCUUUGCAUUACUGCAGGGGCUGCCAACUACUCAAAACUUUUCCUGGGACUGUUAAUAGGCACAAUGGCAGUUAUCAAUGGUUUUUUCCCUCACUGAUCUUGUUAAGCAAGCACCGCACCCCACUCUUAGUUUCCCAUGGCGUAAUAAAGUAUAAGCAUUGGAAUAUUCCAUGCACUUGUCCAUCAAACAGUGGACCAUACUCCCACCCCUUCUGCAUUGCACCAGUGUGUAAAAUCACAGGUAGCCAUGGUGUCAUGCUUUAUGUACGAAGUCUUCCCUCUCUGCCCCUUGUGUGCCCUUGGCCCCUUUUUACAGACUAUUGCUCACAAUCUUAGGUAUCCAUAUAUCCAGAUAUUAGAUAAGAUUGUGCUCUCUCCCUCCUCCCUUCCCCCUGCCCUGCCCCAUUUGCCUCUUUGCUGGGUAAUGUUGACUGGACAAGGCCCUUUCUCUUGGAUUUAAAAAAUACUCAGUUGCACUUUCCUUGGUCCCAUCCAUUAUACAGGAACCCCUCUACUUCCGUUUGCAUUGCUUCUGAGUAUGCUGACUACCCAAAGCCCCUUCUGUGUUAUUAAUGAACACAGUACUGAUUGUCCCAUUUUUCAGCCCAUCAGUCCAAGAUCUCCCUACCACUUUGGUGUGUUUGUGCGGUGUUGACUAUGAAAAGCAGGCCUGAACUAGGUGGAUAAGCCUUCAUUCAUUUUCUUUCAUUUAUUAAUGAUCCCAGUUUCAAUUAUUGUCAGAUUCUAGGGACAAGAACCAUUCUUGCCCACCUCUGUUCUGCUUUACUGUGCGAAAUACUCAAGGCAAGUCAGACCCAGGGAGCUGGAUUGCCAUCCUUUAUUUUGUGUUUCCAGUAUACACUAUCAAAUUGUCUCCCCAGGAAGGAAGGUUGGCACUUUCUCUGCAUUCUUCUUUCCAGAGCAGAUUGCCUGGUUAAGAAUCUCUUGUUGUUCCCUUUGUAUAUUGUUAUUGUAAAGUGCCAAAUGCCAGGAUAUAGCCAGAAAAAUUGCUGCUAUUAUUAUUUAAAAAAAAUUUUUAAGAAAGACAUCUGGAUUGUAGACUGGACUCAGUAACCUGGUCAUUAUUUUUUUGAAGCCAAAAAAUCCAUUUAUACUAUGUACCUGAUGACCAGUGUCUCAUUUUAACUGAGGGUGGUGGGUCUGUGGAUAGAACACUGACUCUUGCUACUUUAAUAUUAUCAAAGGUGUUCUAGAGUGGAACUCUUAAGACCAGUAUCUUUGUGUGGGCUUUACCAGGAUUCAUUUUUAGAAAAACUACCUGAAUUUUAUAAUCCUUAAAUUUCUUCAUCUGGAGCACCUGCCCCUACUUAUUUCAAGAAGAUUGCAGUAAAACGAUUAAAUGAGGGAACAUAUGCAGAGGUGCUUUUAAAAAGCAUAUGCCACCUUUUUUUAUUAAUUUGUCUAUCAUAUAAAAUGAAGCAUUUAAUUAUACUAAUAAUUUGAAGUAGUUCGAAGUACCACACUGAGGAGAGGACUUAAAAAUGAUAAGACCAGUUCCCUAUUUUAUAAGAAAAAUAAGCCAAAAUUAAAUAUUCUUUUGGAUAUAAAUUUCAACAGUGAGAUAGCUGCCUAGUGGAAAUGAAUAAUAUCCUAGCCACUAGUGUACAGGGUGUUUUGUGGCAAAGGAGUAUGUAACAUGGAACUGCUCAAGCAAAUACCUAGUCACAACAGCAGUUCUUUGUAAUAACUGAAAAAGAAUAUUGUUUCUCUGAGAAGGAUGUCAAAAGAUCGGCCCAGCUCAGGGAGCAGUUUGCCCUACUAGCUCCUCGGACAGCUGUAAGAAGAGUCUCUGGCUCUUUAGAAUACUGAACGAAUUUAGAGGUGAUUCUGUACCUUAACUCAAGAGGAAGGAUGGCUUGCUUUUAGGUGGAUUGAUUCUGCUAGAUAGCAUCCAAAGGAUUCCACUGAAGAUACCAUGCUGCAUGUGUCCUUAGUAGUCAUGUCUCCUUAGGCUCCUCUUGGACAUUCUGAGCAUGUGAGACCCGAGGACUGCAAACAGCUGCAAGAGGCUUCAAAUUCAGCAUAUCGUUCCUUUUGAGAGUCUGGCCAAGCUCCAGCAAAUCUACUUGGAUGGGUUGCCAGCCACCUGGAGAAAAAGAUCUUCCUCAGAAGAAUAGGCUUGUUGCUUUACAGUGUUAGUGAUCCAUUCCCUUUGACGAUCCCUAGGUGGAGAUGGGGCAUGAGGAUCCUCCAGGGGAAAAGCUCACUACCACUGGGCAACAACCCUAGGUCAGGAGGUUCUGUCAGGAUACUUUCCUGGUCUCAGAUAAGAAGAUAAAGUCUCAAAAACAACCACCACACGUCAAGGAGAACAUGGACAACUGCCACAUCAGUGACACUGAUCACAUGGGCAAAUCAUUCUGUUCCAUCUGGUCCCCAAAGUCUCUCUUAAAGCCUUACAGAAGAACUUUGCCAAUCAUUUACAUACUUCGGGAUGGCUUGGCAUGCCAUGGGAUAUAAUAGGACAAGUGAGAGCUCUUCAUUGUUCCUAUCUGCCAAAUCAUUACACUUCCUACAAGCAGUGCAGAGAGCUGAGUCUUCAGCAGGUCCAAGAAAUUUGAACACAUUGAAGGAGGUCAGCCUUCCUACCUGAAGAUCAACAUGCUUGGCACUCUAGCACUUUAGGAUAGCUGAAUGAAUGUGUAUUUCUUAGUCUCUUUCUUCCUUGUCUUUGCUCUUUGUUCUCUAUCUAAAGUGUGUCUUACCCAUUUCCAUCUUUCUCUUGCUAAUUUCUUUCAUGUGUGCCUUUGCCUCAUUUUCUCUUUUUGUUCACAAGACUGGUCUGUGCUUUGUCUUAGACAUAUCUCUCAUUUUUCCUUUUGCUGCUGUUUCUCUUUGCUCUCCUAGAUGUGGCUCUUCUUUCACGCUUUAUUUCAUGUCUCCUUUUUGGGUCACAUGUGUGUGCUUUUUGUCCUUCUCUUGUCCUGUCUACCUCUCCUUUCUCUGCGUACCUCUCUUUUCUCUUUGUGAACUGUGAUUAUUUGUUACCCCUUCCCCUUCUUGUUCGUUUUAAAUUUCACCUUUUUUUCUGAGUCUGGCCUCCUUUCUGCUGUUUCUACUUUUUAUCUCACAUUUCUCAUUUCUACAUUUCCUUUCUGCCUCUCUUGGGCUAUUUUCUCUCUUUUUCCUCCCCUGCGUGCCUCAGCAUCUCUUGCUGUUUGUGAUUUUCUAUUUCAGUAUUAAUCUCUGUUGGCUUGUGUUUCUUCUCUGCUUCUUCCCUUUCUACUCACCUUUGAGUAUUUCAGCCUCUUCAUGAAUCUAUCUCCCUCUCUUUGAUUUCAUGUAAUCUUCUCUCCUUAAGUAUUUCUUUGCAUAUGUGGGCAUGUGUACGUGUGUGUGUGUCAUGUGUGGCAGAGGGGCUUCCUAACCCCUGCCUGAUAGGUGCAGAACGUCGGCUAUCAGAAUGAGCAUUGUGGAGCGGUUACUUAUGCCAGGCUGCCAUGUGAGAUGAUCCAAGACCAAAACAAGGCCCUAGAGUCUGGACUGCAGUAAAACCCAAUACUCAAGUAGGACAGAAGGUGGAAGGCUCAUAUGGAUAAAAGGCCAAAAGUAGAAGACAGAUGGUUUGAGACUUGAGACCCGAGGACUAAGAUGGAAAGCCCAUGUUCCAAGAUAGAUAGAAGCCUCAGGCCUGAAACGAACAAAAGCCUCAAGAGCCAAGAAAACAGAGGGUGGUCUGAAUUGGACAGAAGGCCUGAGUUGGAUGGAAGUCUCAAGUCUUGAGUUCGAAGUCUUAAGACCUGGGACAGGACACAUGGAAGGCCUAAGAACUGAGACUUGUGACACAAGGCCAAAGACCUAAGAUUAGCCCGGGGUUGUAGUUGGAAGACCUACAACCCAAGGAUGGAAGGCCUCUGUCACAAAGCCUACCUAUAUGGAUAGAGGACCCAAGUGAAACAGAUAUCUCAAGACUAAAGGCCGGAAUCUAGAGGUCCAUGACCCAGAACCCAGGAAGGAUGGAAGCUUGAAGACCUGGGGAAAUCCCAAGAUGAGAACCCUAAACCCCACCUCUUUUCUAUUGUUUAUACUUCUUACUCUUACAUAUUUCCAGUUCUCCUGUUUCUCUUUAAGCCUGAUUCUUUUGAGAUGUACUUUUUGAUGUUGCCAGUUACCUUAAAGGAACAUAUCUUUAGAUUGACAGUAUUAUGCCUGGGCCAGUCUUGAGCCAGCUUUAAAUCACAGCUUUUACUUAUUUGUUAGGCUUUAGUGUUUUGUAAACUUCUGUUUCUAUUUACAUCUACUCCACUUGAGAGAGACACCAGAAUCCAGUCAGUAUCUAAUCUGGAUUUUGUUAUUCCCCUCAGGAGCAAACAUUCAUGUAGGUGAUACUGUAUUUCAGUCCCCUCUUUUAACCCCAGAAUCCCUAGACUGAGAAGAUAAAAUGGUCAGGUUGUUGGGGAAAAAAAGUGCCAGGCCCUCUAGAGAAAAAUGUGAAGCGAUGCUCCAGGCCAGUGAGAAGAAUUAGACAAGAAAUACACAGAUGUGCCAGACUUCUGAGAAGCAUCUGCCAGCAACAGCUUCCUUCUUUGAGCUUAGGUGAGCAGGAUUCUGGGGUUUGGGAUUUCUAGUGAUGGUUAUGGAAAGGGUGACUGGGCCUGGGACAAAGUGAGGUCCCAAGGGGAUAGCCUGAACUCCCUGCUCAUAGUAGUGGCCAAAUAAUUUGGUGGACUGUGCCAACCCUACUCCUGGGUUUAAUACCCAUCUCUAGGCUUAAAGACGAGAGAACCUGGGACUAUUGAGCACAUUUAAUACUUUCCUUGAUUUUUUUUCCUUCCUGUUUAUGUGGGAAGUUGAUUUAAAGGACUGAUAAUGUAUAUGAAAGCACUGUAAAAUGUAAGAGAAAAACCAAGCCGUGCUCCUUAAUAGUGCAUUGGCAAUCAUGCAUAGUUAACAUUUGAAAGUGCAUAGUUAACAUUUGAAACUGUAAGGGGUCAAAAUCAUAAAUACUUUAGACUGUGGGCCAUACGGUUUCUGUUACGUAUUUGUUUUUUAAACAACCUUUUUAUAAGGUCAAAAUCAUUCUUAGUUUUUGAGCCAAUUGGAUUUGGCCUGCUGUUCAUAGCUUACCACCCCCUGAUGUAUUAUUCGUUAUUCAGAGAAAAUGUCUGAAUACUAAUAAUUUCCUUUUCUGUGCCUGUCCCUGUGCUAGGCACUCAAAAUGUAAUGAUUAUUCACAUGUAGGUGACCUGAAGAAAAAUAGUGAAUGUGCUUUGUAAACUAUAAAGCACUUGUAUUCUACUGUGAUAAACAUUGUGGAUACAAAGAAAGGAGCAAGCAUAAAAAAGUGCUCUUUCAAAAGGAUAUAGUACUAUGCAGACACAAAGAAUUGUUUGAUAAAUGAAUAAAUUAUAUGUGUAUUUGAGGCCAGUUUGUGUUUGCUGCUCUGGUAAUUUUGAGUAAAAAUGCAGUAUUCCAGGUCUCAGAAACGAAAACACAUGGAAACUGCUUUUAAACUUUAAAGUAUACUGAAAACAUAAGGGACUCAGCUUAUUGUGGUCACCUAUAAUGUGCCAGAUACCAUGCUGGGCACUAGAGAUAUCAAAGGGGGAAAAAAAUACUCUCAUGGAACAAAAAAUUUCAGAAAGGUGCAUAUUAAAGUGCUUUGUAAACUAAAGCACAAUACAAAUGUCAAUGGGCUACAUAUUUAUGAAUGAAUGAAUGAAUGAAUGAAUGAAAUUAACUGCCUCUUACAUACCAGCUAUUGUUUUGGGUACUGUGAAAUACAAGAUUAAUUCUCCUAUAAUAAGAGGAAAGUUUAUCCUCUAGACUAUUCAGAUGUAAGGAAUGAGAUAUUGCUUGAUUUUAAACAAUCAAGACUUUACUGGUGAGGUUAAGUUAAAUUACUACCGGUACAGUUUCCCGGGUAACCGGGAAGGAGAUAGUAUAGGAAAUGAAGUAAUAGAAGUGAGGUCCAGACCAAAAGUCACUUACUUAAGCUUGCGAAUGUGCUUUCUAAAUUAUAAAGCACUUGUAAAUGUGAAAAAUUCGAUGCUUUCUGUAUGAAUAAAACUUUCUGUAAGGUAGGUAUUGUCUCUACAGAAUUCUCAUUGUAUACUUAAACCACAAUGAGAAGGGUUCUAUAAGUAGUUAUACAAACCAAGGGUUUAAAUACCUGUUAAAUGGAUCAAUUUUGAUUGCCUACUAUGUGAACUCGUUGUUAAAGGCACUGAAAAUUUAUCGUAUUUCAUUUACCCACAGCCAAAAAUAAGGCAAUACCUAUGUUAGCAUUUUGUGAACUCUAAGGCACCAUGUAAAUGUAACUGUUGAUUUUCUUACUUGGUGCUGAGUACUAGGUUUAUACAAUUGUGUGAUAGUUAUUGUGCAAAUAAAGUAGGAAAAUUUGAGUAACAAUGAUUAACUUUUGAAUACGCAUAUGCAAGGGAUUGGUUGUCUGAAGAAUGCCACUAUAGUAGUUAUCUAUUGUGUGCCAAUCUCAUUGCUAGGCAUUGGGGAUGCAAAGAUAAACUAUCUUUAUUGUGUCCUGGGUAGCAGAAGAAAAUAAGUGUAAAACCAAUUUAUAAUUUCUAAACUGCCACCCAUAUAUAAGCAGUAUCUGCUGAAUGAUCAUUGAUUACUCAUAUCCUUAGAGAUAACAGCUGGGGGCACAAACAUUUAUUAUCAUUAUUGAACCUACAACAGAGACCUUUGUGUAGAUUUACAAAGCCUACAGUUCUAUACAAAUAGGAACGAACUAUUGGCUUACUGAAUGGUGAUUACGUUCUGAUUUACAAAGCCUACAGUUCUAUACAGAUAGGAAUGAACUAUUGGCUUACUGAAUGGUGAUUACUUUCUGUGGGGCUCGGAACUACAUGCCCUAGGAUAUAAAAAAAUGAUGUCAUCAUUAUAGAGUGCUCACAGAAGGAAAUGAAGUAAUAGGUGUGAGAUCCAGACCAAAAGUCACUUAAUAAAUUUAUUCAAUGAUGAAAACAUGGGACAAAUGGACUAGUAUAAGGCAGUGUACUAAGCUAAGUAGAGAGAUAAAGUCCUGUCCAGAAGAUAUGUGCUCCCUGGCCUGAUUGAAGAGAUGGAAAAUGUUUGCAAAAAACAAGGUGUUGUGGUCUUCCAUCCAGUUUCUUAAGUACUGAUGAUAGAAGUGAAUUAGACCCACCUUGGCCUGGGUUACAGACAGUGAAGGAGUAAAAAUAAAUGCCUCAGGUUUGCUUUUUGAUUCAUUUGAUAAACAAAGCAUCUUUUAUGUGGAAUGUACCAUUCUGGGUCCUGAGGAUGAGAGAGGAGAGGGCAUUAGACCACUGACAGCUGAAGAUAGAAGAACAUCUUUGGUUUGAUUGUGUAAAUAAUAUUUCUGUGCCUAUUCUCUGCAAGGUACUAUGCUUGGUAAAUUAGUAAAUUAAAUAGGUCUGGUCCAGAAGACACACUCAAUUGCCUUUGAGAUUUAAAAAAAAAAAAAGAAAAAAGAAAGAAAAAGGCAAGUUUCUUUCAAAAUGGAGACAUUUUUCCUAGUUUCAGGAAUCCCCCAAAUCACUUGCUCAUUGGCUUAGUUUGAAGCCAGGAGACUGAUGAAAGGACUCAGGGUUUGUUCUUUAAUUUAUUAAGCAAACAUUCUGCUUUUAUUGCAGUUACAUGGUUCAAGAUGAAACAACUAGUUUUAAAGGUAUUUGCUCAUUGGUCUGGCUUAGACACAGGAAGACAUUUGAGCAAUACAAAAAAUUCUUUCCCAUUUACCAUAUUUAGUAAAAAUUUAUUAAAACUGAAUAAAGUGCUGUUCUUAAGUGCUUGAAGGACCUAAACCAAAGUGCACUUUAUCUCAUUUAUCUUAUGGUGGAAACACAGGAACACAUUCUCUAAGAGACUGUGUUUCUUUAGUUGAGAGGAAACUUCAUUGAGUAGCUGUGAUAUGUUCGAUACUAAGGAAAAACUAAACAGAUCACCUUUGACAUGCUCUAUAGAGUGGGAAUAAGAAAGGACUUUUUAUUUUUUCAUUCAUAUGAAUAUUGAUGAAGAUGAUACUAAAUGCUAAAUGAAAUAUAUCUGCUCCAAAAGUCAUUUAUUUUGACUUGGAGAUGCAACAAAAACACAAUAAAUGGAAUGAAGUGAUACUCUUCAUCAAACAGAAGUGACUGUUGUAUCAACCAUUGUGUUAAAUGCUAGACAGAAAACAAAAAAGAUCAUGACUAAAAGACACUUGCUUAUUAAUUGGCUUGGAAAGUAGAAUAUAGGAGAAAGUUUACUGUUUGUUUUUUUUUUUUUUUUCAUGUAUUCAUUCAUUCUACAAAUAUAUUUGGGUGCCAAUAGGUACUUGGUAUAAGGUUUUUGGCCCCAGAGACAUGGGGAAAAAAAUGCAUCUCUUCCCAGAGAAUGCCUAAUACUUUCCUUUUGGCUUGUUUUCUUGUUAGGGUCAUGGCUUAGUCCCUAAAUAACAUUGUGUGGUUUACUUCCUACUCCAUAUCUCUUCUACCACUCUGGCCACUACGAUAAGCAGGGAGCUGGGUUUUGUAGUGAGCUUGACUCCUUAAGUUGCAGGAACUCUCCUUAUAAUAGACACUUCAUUUUCCUAGCCCAUCCCUCAUGAAAAAUGACUGACCACUGCUGGGCAGCAGGAGGGAUGAUGACUGACUAAUUCCCAAACCCCAGUCUCAUUGGUACCAGCCUUGGGGAACCACCCAUACUUGAGCCACAAUUGGUUUUGAAGUGCAUUUACAAGGUUUGUCUAUUUUCAGUUAUUUACUUUUUACGUGCUGACACAUACAUACACUGCCUAAAUAGAUCUCUCUCAGAAACAAUCCUCAGCUAACGCAUAGCAAAAUGGAGAUGGAGAUAUGAUUUCUCAUGCAACAGCUUCUCAAUUUAUACCUUAGAAAUGUUCUCCUUUUUAUCAAAUCUACUCAAGAGGGGCCUUUUAUAGUAGAAUAAUAUCAGUGGAUGAAAACAGCUUAACAUUUUACCUUGCUUAAGUUUUAAGAAUAAAAUAAAAAUUGGAAAUAAUUGGCCAAAAUUGAAAGGAAUUUUUUUUUUUUUAAAUUUCUCUAAAUGUAGGCCUGGCUGGGCUUUGACCUUUUCCAUUUUAAAUCACUCACAGUGGGUGGGACAGGAGGAAGAGUGAAGGAAAAGGUCAAAUCUGUUUUAAGGGCAGCCUGCCUUUGUUCUGAAUUGGCCUUAAGAACAUUACCAGCUCCAGGUCUAAAGUGUUUAGUUUCAUGCAGUUCCAAUAACUGGAUCAUUGUUGAGAUGAGGACAAAAUCCUUUGUCCUCACUAGUUUGCUUUAUAUUUUUGAAAAGUAAUUAUUUUUGUCCAAGUGCUUAUCAACUAAACCUUGUGUUAGGUAAGAAUGGAAUUUAUUAAGUGAAUCAGUGUGACCCCUCUUGUCGUAAGAUUAUCUUAAAGCUGAAGCCAAAAUAUGCUUCAAAAGAAAAGGACUUUAUUGUUCAUUGUAGUUCAUACAUACUUUCAAAGCAUCUAAACUGUAGUUUCCAUGGCAAGUCAAUUACAUCCAUAAGUGGAGAAGGAAAUAGAUAAAUGUCAAAGUAUGAUUGGUCGAAGGGACAAGGUUGAAGAUAAUCUGGGGUUGAAAUUUUCUAGCUUUCAUUCUGUACAUUUUUAGUUAGACAUCAGAUUUGAAAUAUUAAUGUUUGUCUUUUAAUGUGUGGCAUCAGCUGGACUCAGUAACACCCCUUUCUUCAGGUGGGGGUGGGGAAUGCAUUAUUGGAAAACGGAAAGAAGAAAGUAACUAAAAGCCUUCCUUUCACAGUUUCUGGCAUCACUACCACUACUGAUUAAACAAGAAUAAGAGAACAUUUUAUCAGCAUCUGCUUUAUUCACAUAAAUGAAGUUGUGAUGAAUAAAUCUGCCUUUAUGCAGACACAAGGAAUUAAGUGGCUUCGUCAUUGCCCUUCUGCCUCAGAGAAUUUAUCCCAAAAUGCUAAGAUAAAUGGAAGACUCUUGAACUUGUGAACUGAUGUGAAAUGCAGAAUCUCUUUUGAGUCUUUGCUGUUUUGAAGAUUGAAAAAUAUUGUUCAGCAUGGGUGACCACCAAAAAGUAAUCUUAAGCCAUCUAGAUGUCACAAUUGAAACAAACUGGGGAGUUGAGUUGCUAUUGUAAAAUAAAAUAUACUGCUUCGAAAA